rnacentral:rRNA from 1 species
AUUGAACGCGGCGGCAUGCUUUACACAUGCAAGUCGAACGGCAGCGGGGACUUCGGUCCGCCGGCGAGUGGCGAACGGGUGAGUAAUGCAUCGGAACGUGCCUAUCAGUGGGGGAUAACGCUUCGAAAGGAGUGCUAAUACCGCAUAUUCUCCGAGGAGGAAAGCAGGGGACCUUCGGGCCUUGCGCUGAUAGAGCGGCCGAUGUCGGAUUAGCUAGUUGGUGAGGUAAAGGCUCACCAAGGCGACGAUCCGUAGCGGGUCUGAGAGGAUGAUCCGCCACACUGGGACUGAGACACGGCCCAGACUCCUACGGGAGGCAGCAGUGGGGAAUUUUGGACAAUGGGCGAAAGCCUGAUCCAGCCAUGCCGCGUGAGUGAAGAAGGCCUUCGGGUUGUAAAGCUCUUUUGUCCGGGAGGAAAUCCUGGCCUCUAAUACAGGUCGGGGAUGACAGUACUGGAAGAAUAAGCACCGGCUAACUACGUGCCAGCAGCCGCGGUAAUACGUAGGGUGCAAGCGUUAAUCGGAAUUACUGGGCGUAAAGCGUGCGCAGGCGGUUUUGUAAGCCAGAUGUGAAAUCCCCGAGCUUAACUUGGGAACUGCGUUUGGAACUACAAGACUAGAGUGUGUCAGAGGGGGGUAGAAUUCCACGUGUAGCAGUGAAAUGCGUAGAGAUGUGGAGGAAUACCGAUGGCGAAGGCAGCCCCCUGGGAUAACACUGACGCUCAUGCACGAAAGCGUGGGGAGCAAACAGG